GACGAACGCUGGCGGCGUGCUUAACACAUGCAAGUCGAACGGAAAGGCCUGUCCUUCCUUGUGUUGGACGGGUACUCGAGUGGCGAACGGGUGAGUAACACGUGAGUGAUCUGCCGCCAACUUGGGUAUAAGCUGGGGAAACUGGGUCUAAUUCGCGAUAGGACUGCAGGGUGGGGCCUGUGGUGGAAGACGAUUUGGUAGUGGUUGGGGAUGAGCUGGCGGCCGAUCAGCUUGUUGGUUGGGUAAUGGCCUACGAAGGCGGGGACGGGUAGCCGGCCUGGGAGAGUCGGCGGGCACAUUGGGACUGCGAUACGGCCCAGACUCCUACGGGAGGCAGCAGUGGGGAAUAAGGAGCAAUGAGCAGAAGACUGAUGCCGCAACGCCGCGUGGGGAAUGACGGCCUUCGGGUUGUGACCUCCUUUCGACCGACAGGAAGCCGCCUGGUUGGAAGGGUGGUGACGGUAGUGGUAGAAGAAGCACUGGCUAACUACGUG
rnacentral:rRNA from 1 species